GCAUGGUCAGUAGUCACGUAGACAAUGGCCCAAGCUUCUGAACUUCAGGCUAAACUCCUCCCCAGUUACCUAGCAACAGUAAAGACCAUAAAAAGGGCAGUUCAGCCCCUGCUUGCUCUCUUACACCUUUGUUCUCUCACCUCUCACUCACUUCUCUCACUCCUCUCUUCCCCCUCCUUUCUCUGUCUUCUCCUCUCUCUCUCCUCACUCUCUCUCUCUCUCUCUCUCUCUCUCUCUCUCUCUGUCUCUCUGUCUCUGUCUCUCUCUCUCUCUCUCUCUCUCACUCUUUCUACCUUCUCUCUUUCUCCCUGCAUUUCUAUAAUAAAUCUCUUAAACCAUACAGAUUCUCUGCUCCAUCAAUACCCGCUGGGCACCCUGGCCAGAACCCAGUGAAUGAAAUAAUGCUCCCAUAACAUGGAACUGCAUCCAGGCCUGUGGGGGUUAACAUCUCUGCAAGCUCUGCCCUCGAUGACUACAACAUUCUUUCUUUGCCUUUCCCUGUCAAUUCAGCCUGGCACCUACCUCUGUGCUGGCCUCAUGGAAAGCAGCUUUUUUGGUGUGAGUUUGUUCUUCAUCCUCCCUUCAGAUAUUACUGAAGAUAAAUAUUAAUAUAACAGAUAUUGAGUCCACUGGCAGAACACUCAAGCAGUACAACUGGCCUCCUACAUCUUCACCUUAGUUCAUAAUCGAACCAAACAUUUCACUGAGAGAGCAGAGGCAGGGAAACGAAGUUGCCCCGUUUGUGCAGGUCUGACAGUUGGCAGGUCAGUGUUCUAGUGUGCUUGGCGUCCUGUCUUUGCCGCUACUACAGAACAGCCGUUAUGGAGAGAUUAAAAACUCACCCUCUUGCCUAGUUAAAGACAAUUUUCAUUAUCUCUCUGAUUUCUGGAACCAUUUAUUUCUCCCACAUUCAGAUUCUUCCUUUCACAGGAGCCUAGCAUAACUGUUUUCUGCGUGACUAUACACAGGAGUGGAUGGAAACAGAAGCAGGUACCCACAGUCAAACAUCAGAUGGAGGUCUGGAGUACCUAUGGAAGAGUUGGAAAUAUCCAAGGGCCAGAAGUAGAUUGGAAACUCCAUAAAAAGACUAAAAGAAUCAACAAACCUGGACCCCUGGGAGCCCUCAGAAUCUGAACACAACCAAAACAAAGAACACAAAAAGGCUGGAACGAGACUCCUCGAGACUCCUCCGCACACAUGUAGCAGACAGGCUGCUGCCCUCUCUGGCCUCAGUGGGAGAGGAUGGGCCUAUUCUGGCAGAGAAUUGAUGUGCCAGGGUGGGGGUGGGGAGGAUACCCUCUCAAAGGAGAAAGGAAG
rnacentral:lncRNA from 1 species